AAGUCGUAACAAGGUUUCCGUAGGUGAACCUGCGGAAGGAUCAUUAUUGAAGCUUGAAUCGUAGCAUUGAGAACUGUUGCUGACCUGUGAAAGGGUAUGUGCACGUUCAAUGUGUUGCGUUUUAUUCUUUUCCCCCUGUGCACGUUUGUAGACUUGGUUAGUUUUUCGCUGUUGAGUGGUUAGAAGGGGUUGCUUUCUAGCUCCCUUUAUUUUCACUCUGAAGCGGUUAGAAGGGUUGCUCUUGAGCUCCCUUUGUGUACCAAGUCUAUGUCUAUAAUCUCUUGUAUGUCUAGAAUGUCUUGUUUAUGGGACGCAAGUCCUUUAAAUUUUAUACAACUUUCAACAACGGAUCUCUUGGCUCUC
rnacentral:misc_RNA from 1 species